CUUUCCCUCUUUCUUUCUGCCUAACACAUGCAAGUCGAACGGCAGCACAGUAAGAGCUUGCUCUUACGGGUGGCGAGUGGCGGACGGGUGAGGAAUACAUCGGAAUCUACUUUUUCGUGGGGGAUAACGUAGGGAAACUUACGCUAAUACCGCAUACGACCUACGGGUGAAAGCAGGGGAUCUUCGGACCUUGCGCGAUUGAAUGAGCCGAUGUCGGAUUAGCUAGUUGGCGGGGUAAAGGCCCACCAAGGCGACGAUCCGUAGCUGGUCUGAGAGGAUGAUCAGCCACACUGGAACUGAGGCACGGUCCAGACUCCUACGGGAGGCAGCAGUGGGGAAUAUUGGACAAUGGGCGCAAGCCUGAUCCAGCCAUACCGCGUGGGUGAAGAAGGCCUUCGGGUUGUAAAGCCCUUUUGUUGGGAAAGAAAAGCAGCAGGUUAAUACCCCGCUGUUCUGACGGUACCCAAAGAAUAAGCACCGGCUAACUUCGUG
rnacentral:rRNA from 1 species